rnacentral:rRNA from 1 species
UACGGAGGGUGCAAGCGUUAUCCGGAUUCACUGGGUUUAAAGGGUGCGUAGGUGGGUUUGUAAGUCAGUGGUGAAAUCUCCAAGCUUAACUUGGAAACUGCCGUUGAUACUAUAAAUCUUGAAUGUUGUGGAGGUGAGCGGAAUAUGUCAUGUAGCGGUGAAAUGCUUAGAUAUGACAUAGAACACCAAUUGCGAAGGCAGCUCGUUACACGAAUAUUGACUCUGAGGCACGAAAGCGUGGGGAGCAAACAGG